rfam:Prevotella sp. CAG:487 genomic scaffold, scf367
GUAAAGCAUCAAGAGUACUUGAAUGUACACCAACCGAGCCUUAUAUAUUGUGGCCACGGUGGUAAAAUGAUGCGGAUUGUCUUAUAAUCAAAAAUAAACAAUAUG